UUGCUUUGGAAGAGUUCGUUUUAAAAUUUCUAUCUUUUAAAUUGUAUCCCGUCAGUUUAAAUUAUAGUAAUGACUCAAGAAACAUCUGUAGGUGUGCAGAAGUGUGGCCGACUCUGGAGAUCUAAAAAUGAACAAAACAAGGUCCCGGCUCCCCAGGUCUUCUUAACUGGGUGUGUGGAUUUGAAGGGUUGUAGCACUGAGCGCUGAGCCCCCUGAGGUGAGAAAGGAUUGUGUGGCACUGAUGCGGUUUGAGGGUCACCUACGAGGUGAUAUAUUUAUCCUCAGGAUCCCUUCCAGGAGGCCACAUUACAGCGGAUCAUCCUGUCUCCUUGGGCUUCUCUUGGCUGUGACAGUUUCUCAGGCUUUCCUUGUUUUUCAAGACCUUGACAGUUUGGAGGAGGACU